ensembl:lncRNA
GCUGAACAAACAGCGAUCGCUAAGCAUCAGUCAGAGGUGUGAGCGCAGUGACGUUACCUUCCCUCAGCUUGCGCACCGCCGCUUUGUGGCCGGCUCCCCCUGCGUGGCUGGUCAGGGCAGCCUCGCCCAUCGUCUGAAGUUUGAUAGAUUUAGAACAGGCCUUACAUCGGGCGAAGUGAAUGUCCUGCACAGUAAAAUCGCCAGUGUUAAUACAACACUUAAAGAGUCAAUUUUAACACUACCUCAGUGACAUAUGGUCCCUAUCUACAGAGUGUUAAAUGUACACUGAACACAGAGUUAAAUUUCCAGAGUCAAUUUUACUCUGGUAAGAGUUAAAAUUGUACACUAGGUGCAGUGUAGUGUAAUAAUAUUAACUCUAAGAAGUGUCAAGUUUUACACUAUGUAAAAAGUAACACCCAUAGUGUUAUUCACAUGUAACACUAAAGAGUUAUAAAAGAAAUAACCUUUCCAGUGUUAAACCUGCUUUACACUAUGUUGAUUAUGAAAUCACUCCAAAGAGUGUUGAUUUUUAACCAACUCCUACCAGUGUUGCAUAUCUAUGCAGGGGGAAAAACACACAGACAAUUGUAUCCAUACUGUAAUACAUAUUUAUUCCAAGUAAACAUGAAAUAUUGGCAUCAAAAGUAAACCUAAAACAUGUAAAGCUCACAUCUUAUCACAGUGGCAAAGAUCUUGGUUGGUGCUGGAUGACAGGAAUGUUUUGAUCAACAUGAUGGUAUCUGCAAAGACAGCAAACUGAAAUCAACAUUAUGAUCUACAACACCAUACAAGCUGACAACCUGAAAAUACCCUAUUUCAGCUUUAAAAAUCACAAACACAACUACAUUUUCGGUCAAGUACAUCAACUUAUUACUUACCACCAGAGCACCACAGUACAUUAAAGAACAACCUGAAAGAAAAAAGGAAAAUAUACAUAAUAAGUAACUACGUAGACCCCUCCGCCGUAGCCUGACGUGCAGCUCCGAAAAAAUCUAACUGCGAGUCGAGUUGACGUGGACCGCAAGUGCUGUGAUUGGUCCGCUCAGAACGUAAUUUGCGGCAGUUGCUGACAUUCGAAAGUAUCGAAAGUGCACUUGCUCGUCCAGGUCCCUCAGUGGGUGAACCAGUGUUGUAAAUUCACGUCUUCUCCGUAGCCUGCGCUUCAAUAUGAGCUUCGGCUCCCCAAGGAUUCGGCACCCGCAGAAACACACAGCCACACCCGCCGCCGCCGUAACGUGGAAGCAUAAAUUAAGCUUACAGCAGCUACAGCCAAAGACAUAAAGAAUAGACAUCGACCGCUGCUGCCUAGUGGUGCUGACGAGCCGCGGGGCCGCCGACUUGGACCGGUCACCCGCUCCACUCAGUGCCAGCUGGCGCAACGAAGUGUCAGCGCAUCACUCGCUGAAUACAAAAGCGGAUGUUCACGGCAUUUUGUAGGCAUGACACCGAAAACAUGAUUCGGCGUAUUUUAAUAUUCAUAGUAGGCGUAACAGUAAUAAUAUUCUGGUAUAUAAUAUAAUAAUAAAUAUUUGUUUGCGCCUCAGCAGCCAGUGCAGCGUCUACUCUUUAUAUGUCUAUGGCUACAGCAGCAGCUAACGGGAACCGAGCCUCUCGGAGCCGCGGCUCCGUUCACGUUAACUGGGUCGACUCGGUGCAUUCCGCCGUCUGCCGGUGAA